CGGAGGCUUGAGAAAGUUUUGCAGUUUUUUUGGUACUGCCACAACUGGUUCUGUCCUCCAAGAUUAAACAUCAAACACUGCAGCUCUGUCUGAAUGAUUUAUUCAGACCAUUAGCUGUGUUUGUGAACACUUC